rnacentral:lncRNA from 1 species
ACUAACAACCCUUCGGCAUUAGGUAAGGCAACUCCACCACAACAUUGAGGAAGAUAACCAAUGCGAUACUAGCCCAUGGCAGCAGAGCCCUUAUUUAUAGAAAUGGCAAGUCUGGGCAAAUUAAAAUGCGUCACUAGCUGUAUGAUAGAUGUCACCAUCUUAAAGGCCUCAAAAGUUAUACUUUUUGGAAAGCAUAUAUCAACAUUAAAUGCGAGCCCUACU